GGAUAAACAGAUCCUGUGAUCAAAGAGUGAGAACACAGCCAUAGAGAGCUUUACAAAGGGCAUCAGUAUUAAUGUCAAAUGUUACUGAGGCCUCGAGGGAACUAACCAGUCAGAAGCAACCAUCGAAUUUAGUAAUGGACUUCACUCACUUGGUGAAAGCUGUUCCGUGUCAUGGUGGCAGAGACACAGCACAGUGGCUGAGAGUGAGCAGGAGCUGUGGAAGUUGAAUAAUGCCUGAAGGGACCAUUCUUUCUAGAGACUGUGGAAUGGAAUGACUCUCCAGAGCUGCAGAUUGAAGGCAUAUUUUCAUCUGACUUUGGUGAUUAUGUUUCCAAUCUCUCUGGGAAUAAGGUGUGUUUGGGGUGA
rnacentral:lncRNA from 10 species